GGGAGGGGGGGCUAAUACAUGCAAGUCGAGCGAAUGGAUUAAGAGCUUGCUCUUAUGAAGUUAGCGGCGGACGGGUGAGUAACACGUGGGUAACCUGCCCAUAAGACUGGGAUAACUCCGGGAAACCGGGGCUAAUACCGGAUAACAUUUUGAACCGCAUGGUUCGAAAUUGAAAGGCGGCUUCGGCUGUCACUUAUGGAUGGACCCGCGUCGCAUUAGCUAGUUGGUGAGGUAACGGCUCACCAAGGCAACGAUGCGUAGCCGACCUGAGAGGGUGAUCGGCCACACUGGGACUGAGACACGGCCCAGACUCCUACGGGAGGCAGCAGUAGGGAAUCUUCCGCAAUGGACGAAAGUCUGACGGAGCAACGCCGCGUGAGUGAUGAAGGCUUUCGGGUCGUAAAACUCUGUUGUUAGGGAAGAACAAGUGCUAGUUGAAUAAGCUGGCACCUUGACGGUACCUAACCAGAAAGCCACGGCUAACUACGUGCCAGCAGCCGCGGUAAUACGUAGGUGGCAAGCGUUAUCCGGAAUUAUUGGGCGUAAAGCGCGCGCAGGUGGUUUCUUAAGUCUGAUGUGAAAGCCCACGGCUCAACCGUGGAGGGUCAUUGGAAACUGGGAGACUUGAGUGCAGAAGAGGAAAGUGGAAUUCCAUGUGUAGCGGUGAAAUGCGUAGAGAUAUGGAGGAACACCAGUGGCGAAGGCGACUUUCUGGUCUGUAACUGACACUGAGGCGCGAAAGCGUGGGCACG
rnacentral:rRNA from 1 species